rnacentral:rRNA from 1 species
UACGGAGGGUGCAAGCGUUGUCCGGAAUCACUGGGCGUAAAGGGCGCGUAGGCGGCUCAUGAAGGCUGUGGUGAAAGUCCGGGGCUCAACCUCGGAUCGGCCGUGGCGACUCGUGGGCUGGAGCACUGUAGAGGCGGGUGGAAUUCCGGGUGUAGCGGUGGAAUGCGUAGAGAUCCGAAAGAACACCAGUGGCGAAGGCGGCCCGCUGGGCAGUGGCUGACGCUGAGGCGCGACAGCGUGGGGAGCAAACAGG